rnacentral:rRNA from 1 species
CGACCUGAGCUCAGGCAAGGCUACCCGCUGAACUUAAGCAUAUCACUAAGCGGAGGAAAAGAAACUAACAAGGAUGCGCUUAGUAACGGCGAGCGAACCGCGCAAAGGCCAACUUGAAAAUCUCCCUCGGAGAAUUGUAGUCUAUAGAAGUACCCUCUGCAACGGGCUGAGCUAAAGUCUCCUGGAAAGGGGCGUCAGAGAGGGUGAGAACCCCGUAAGCUCACGCUUAGUUGCCUCACGAGGUGCUUUCGA